CCUACGGGUGGCUGCAGUAACGAAUCUUCCGCAAUGGGCGCAAGCCUGACGGAGCAAUGCCGCGUGCGGGAUGAAGUAUCUCUGGUAUGUAAACCGCUGUCAGGGGACGGAAACAAUGAUUGUCCCCAGAGGAAGUGGCGACUAACUCUGUGCCAGCAGUCGCGGUAAUACAGAGGCCACGAGCAUUAGUCGGAAUCACUGGGCUUAAAGGGUGCGUAGGUGGCUUGCCAAGUGCUUUGUGAAAUCCCACGGCUCAACCGUGGAACAGCAGGGCA
rnacentral:rRNA from 1 species